GACGAACGUUGGCGGCGUGCUUAAUACAUGCAAGUCAACUGAAGCAGUGGUAGCAAUAUCGCUGUGGAGGUGGCGCACGGGUGAGUAACACGUAGGUAAUCUGCCUUCAGGUCUGGCAUAACUCCGGGAAACCGGGGCUAGUAGCAGAUGAUGCAGCGGCUCGACAUCGAGACAGUUGUUAAAGCUAUGGCGCCUGAAGAUGAGCCUGCGUCUGAUUAGCUAGUUGGCGGGGUAACGGCCCACCAAGGCAACGAUCAGUAGCUGGUCUGAGAGGAUGAUCAGCCACACUGGAACUGAGACACGGUCCAGACUCCUACGGGAGGCAGCAGUAAGGAAUAUUGCUCAAUGGGAGAAAUCCUGAAGCAGCAACGCCGCGUGAGGGACGAAGGGCUUUUGCUUGUAAACCUCUGUAGUGAGAGAAAAAAAUCCCAAUCUUUGGGACAUGAUGGUACCUCAAAAGUAAGCCCCGGCUAACUACGUG
rnacentral:rRNA from 1 species